rnacentral:rRNA from 1 species
AACGUAGGAGACGACCGUUAUCCGGAGUUACUGGGCGUAAAGGGCGUGCAGGCGGCUUGAUAAGUUCGGCGUGAAAUUUCCCGGCUUAACCGGGGGAUGUCGUCGGAGACUGUCGAGCUAGAGGGUGAUAGAGGCGUGUGGAAUUCCGGGUGUAGUGGUGAAAUGCGUAGAGAUCCGGAGGAACACCAGUGGCGAAGGCGACACGCUGGGUCAUACCUGACGCUAAAACGCGACAGCAUGGGGAGCGAACGGG